UGACGUCAAAUCAUCAUGCCCCUUAUGACCUGGGCUACACACGUGCUACAAUGGUUGGUACAACGAGUUGCGAGUCGGUGACGGCGAGCUAAUCUCUUAAAGCCAAUCUCAGUUCGGAUUGGAGUCUGCAACUCGACUCCAUGAAGUUGGAAUCGCUAGUAAUCGCGGAUCAGCAUGCCGCGGUGAAUACGUUCCCGGGCCUU
rnacentral:rRNA from 1 species